CGUGUUUGGCUUGAGGUUUCUAAACCUAAAAAGAUCCCUGACUGGAGCUGUCCCCCGCCUCCUGACAGGCAGCUGCAGGUGGGCUGCUCGGACACAAACUGCAGCUUAGGUACACGGUCCUUGGAGUCUCCCUGUAGCCUUUUGGAAAGGGAAGGAGCACUUACUAAAUUCACUGCGAAGUGACAGAGAGCCUUUCCUUGGCCAGGUUGGACAGGUGCUUCUGCCCUCUUUUCAACUAGUUCUCAACCUUGGCCUCUAAAGACUUAGGCACUAAGAUGGUUUUGAACAUCACGUCGGCGUCGCUAGGAUGACUCCAGCUCCACUUAGAAUGCCUGCCUGACAAAGCUCAAGGUGCCGGGAGAAUCUAGCCACCGCCAGAAGAGAGUCUCUGCUCCUCAGUGUCUCUAGGAGAAGAGGAGCAUAACUUCCAGAAACUCUGCUUAGUGUCCCCAGGGAGUUCCCAGGCCAGCGAUGGAACCCACGUCACAGCAGGGACAGUGCUGUGUCCUUAGUCUACUGAGCCCCAGAGGGACUCCUGUAGAGAAGUGUUUUCAUAGUCAGUGGACUGACUACCCAGAUGUGGAGUGGGGAACACAGACCUGGUUCCUGUCUUCAAGCAACUCAGGAUCUAAUCUGCAGACAAGACAUGGAUCCAUCCAAAAGCAACGCACGACGAUGUUGUGGAGGCCGGUGGGAGUGAGAAGACCGAGGAGGAGGCCCAGGCUGUGACCAAGGAGGAGGAGGCGGGCCCGGCCCCUGAGAAGGGGGCAGAGGAGGCCGCAGCCGUUGGCGAGGCAGAGGAGGAGGCGGGCCCAGGCAGUGACAAUGACAAGACGUCCCCAGCCAGGGCUGGGGCUGAGCAGGAAGAUGAAUCUGCCCCCAAGGUGGACGGGACGGACGGUGAAAGCUCGUGGAGCACUGUGAGUCUGUGUGGCAGCGUCCACGAUGAAGAUGACACAGACUCGGUGGUGGAGAGCAGCAACAGCCACCAGGACGAGGAGGCUGCAGAAUCUUGCUUUGGGAGGAAAGGAUCUUGCUUCAGGAGCCUGAGGAUAAGUUUGUCCUCUGCGAGCUUGGCUAGACUAAUCCCCUGGUGGCCGCACAACAGGGUGCACCCAGCCACUGAGCCAGAUGAAGCAACGCACGACGAUGUUGUGGAGGCCGGUGGGAGUGAGAAGACCGAGGAGGAGGCCCAGGCUGUGACCAAGGAGGAGGAGGCGGGCCCGGCCCCUGAGAAGGGGGCAGAGGAGGCCGCAGCCGUUGGCGAGGCAGAGGAGGAGGCGGGCCCAGGCAGUGACAAUGACAAGACGUCCCCAGCCAGGGCUGGGGCUGAGCAGGAAGAUGAAUCUGCCCCCAAGGUAAGCUCACCUUUCUUGAUGUGAGGUUGGAAAAGUCGCCUCCUUUCUUUUUUGAUAUUCCUACCUGAGAAAUGAAAAUCUGAGGAAGUCCAUUGUUUAUGAGGCAUGCAGAUUCCUCUGCGGAGGAAUGUGGCGUCAACGUUUGGUACCAGCAACUAGCUCCUUCCAAGGGGCAUUUGCAAAAGGGAGCGCAUCAGUUCCCAAGGGUACAGUAGGGAGCAUUUUUCUUUGAAGAGGCCGGAAUGUUUUUUGAAGG
ensembl:lncRNA